GUCAAAAAAUAAAAGAAGAUGGAAGGAAGGAUGUACAGAAGGAAGAAAAAAAAAAGAAAGAACCUGUGACUAUGAAGCAACACCCAAAGCCACUGUCAGAUGUCAUGGAGAUGAGACCUCACAAGCCUACUCAACGUGAAGAUGAUGAGAAUGAAGACCUUUAUGAUGAUCUGCUUCCACUUAAAGAAUAGUAUUUGGCUGACUCCUGGACUAUGCAAGCACAAGAAGAGAUUUCAGAAGGUUUGGAAGAGGGUAUCUUCUGAGAGGCUGAGGGCUAAGAAGACUGCCCUGUGCAGGAAAGAUGUUGGAGUGCAAGCCCAUCUGGAAUGGAGAGACCUCGAUGAAACACAUAGGCAACUAAUUAGAUCCCAGAAAGGCCAC